AACCGAAAGUGAAACUCUCAUUCUAUUAGCCACUCAAAAACACUUCCUUUCUCACCCAAUUCCUCUAGAAUGGCUCUUUUGGCAGACAUAAAUGUUGUCUCCAAAACUCUACAAGCCCUUCCAAAGCUUUCCAAAAUUCAAAGGAUACCAAAUAGGAUGAAAAUAGUUGGAUUUCUUGGCAAGAAAGAAGAUGAUUUUCAAGAACACCUCUUACAAACUACAAGAAGAUUAGCGAUAGGCCUUGCCUCCAUAGCUCUUAUUGGAGAUUCUACCAAGGGGAUAUCUCUAGCUAAGGAUAAUGGGUUCUGGUACGAAGGCCCUAUACCUGUGCCUCCUGUCUAUAACAAGAUUGCAAAUGAGAAGACGGGUACACGUUCUUUUCUGAAAAUUGGACUCUAUGUGGCAAAUAUAGGAAGCAAAGGUAGUGAAUAUAGGCUGAGGAAAACCGCCUUUGAUCUCUUAUCAAUGCCAGAUUUGAUCAAACAAGACACUCUAAACUAUGUCAGGAAGUAUCUGAGAUAUAAGUCCACCUUCAUGUACUAUGAUUUUGACAAGGUGAUCUCAGCUGCAUCAGAGAACGAAAAACAACCUCUGACUGAUCUGGCUAACAGACUGUUUGACAGUUUUGAAAAGCUUGAAGAUGCGGCAAAGAACAAAAAUCUGCCUCGGACAGAAUCAUCUUAUCAGGACACAACAGUUAUCCUCCAAGAGGUCAUGGAAAGAUUUGCAUAAUCUAUGGAAGCUACUGUUGUAGUUUAAACAAAGUCAGUGUACUUAAUUUUGAGUAAUGCAGAUACAGGAAACUUGGUUGCCUCAUAAAAGAAAAGGAAUUAUUAAUCUAUCAAAAGAUCAGCCAUAGCUUAGGCGAGAAUCUGAAGGGCGCACAUUGUUGCUGGUUUGACGCCGGGGAAUCCCAAUUUCACAAGCAUUUACCCGGGCUGCGAAACGGAGUGAACAAAGUGACUCCCCAACUGAGGAGGGAUCAGGAGAUAUGUUUACGAACAUCAAUGUCUUCGAGUCCCCACCUAAGCAAGGCUGGUCAACCAGUGAUUUUACAAGAUUAGAACAUCUCAAAUGAUCAUAUGCAACUAGAAGAAUAGCAAGAAACAGUAUUGAAUAACCAUAGUCUAUUUCUUUGCCUUUUUACAA